GAUGAAUGCUGGCGGCGUGCCUAACACAUGCAAGUCGAGCGGUAACAGAUCUAGCUUGCUAGAUGCUGACGAGCGGCGGACGGCUGAGUAACGCGUGGGAACAUACCCCAAAGUGAGGGAUAACCGCCCGAAAGGGUGGCUAAUACCGCAUAUGGUCUUCGGAUUAAAGGAUUUAUCCGCUUUGGGAAUGGCCUGCGUACGAUUAGAUAGUUGGUGAGGUAAUGGCUUACCAAGUCUACGAUCGUUAACUGGUUUGAGAGGAUGAUCAGUCAGACUGGAACCGAGACACGGUCCAGACUCCUACGGGAGGCAGCAGUGAGGAAUCUUCCACAAUGGGCGAAAGCCUGAUGGAGCAACGCCGCGUGCAGGAUGAAGGCCUUCGGGUUGUAAACUGCUUUUAUAAGUGAAGAAUAUGACGGUAACUUAUGAAUAAGCACCGGCUAACUACGUGCCAGCCGCCGCAGUAA
rnacentral:rRNA from 1 species